rnacentral:rRNA from 1 species
CUCGUAAGGUCUCCAGCGCUCUCUAAUUAGAUAUGAGACACCGUUUAGCGUCCAGAGUUUUGUCAUGGCUCAGGACGACGCUGCGGCGUCCUUAAUCAUGCAAGAUGAGCGGAAAAAUGGAGCUUGCCGCGGGAAUCUCGCGGCGGGAGGGUGAAUUACCUGUGGGCAACCGGCCCUGAGAGAUUGGAUUAUUCCGGGAAACCGGGGCUUAAUCCCGAAGGUUCUUUUCCCGCCAGGAGGAAACCCUAAAGGUUGGUUUUGCUUCCCAUUACAGGAGGGCCCCCGGGCCAUUAAGUAAUUUGUGGGGGUACGGCCUCCCCAGGGGGCCAUUCGUUACCCAUCCUGGGGGGGGAUUGGCCCCCGUGGGGCUUAGGCAACGGCCAGAACUCCUCGGGGAAGCCGCAAGUAGGAAUUUUUCCCCAAUGACGAAAAUCCUAAGGGACAACCCCCCCGGGAUUAAGAAAGUUUUUGGAUUGUUAAAAUUUUGUGGUUAGGAAGGACAAAUUCCGUUAGAAUCGGCCGGUACCUUGACGGUACCUAACCAGAAAGCCACGGCUAACUACGUGCCAGCAGCCGCGGUAAUACGUAGGUGGCAAGCGUUGUCCGGAAUUAUUGGGCGUAAAGCGCUCGCAGGCGGUUCCUUAAGUCUGAUGUGAAAGCCCCCGGCUCAACCGGGGAGGGUCAUUGGAAACUGGGGAACUUGAGUGCAGAAGAGAAGAGUGGAAUUCCACGUGUAGCGGUGAAAUGCGUAGAGAUGUGGAGGAACACCAGUGGCGAAGGCGACUCUCUGGUCUGUAACUGACGCUGAGGAGCGAAAGCGUGGGGAGCAAACAGGAUUAGAUACCCUGGUAGUCCACGCCGUAAACGAUGA